rnacentral:rRNA from 1 species
UACGGAGGAUGCAAGCGUUAUCCGGAAUGAUUGGGCGUAAAGCGUCCGCAGGUGGCUAUGUAAGUCUGCUGUUAAAGAGUGAGGCUCAACCUCAUAAAAGCAGUGGAAACUACAUGGCUAGAGUGCGUUCGGGGCAGAGGGAAUUCCUGGUGUAGCGGUGAAAUGCGUAGAGAUUGGGAAGAACAUCGGUGGCGAAAGCGCUCUACUGGACCUCAUCUGACACUCAGGGACGAAAGCUAGGGGAGCGAAUGGG